AUUGAACGCUGGCGGCAGGCUUAACACAUGCAAGUCGAACGGAGUGGCGCACGGGUGAGUAAUGUAUAGCUAAUCUGCCCUACACUAGAGGACAACAGUUUGAAACGACUGCUAAUACUCUAUAGUGUAGGAUGAGGCUAUAUUGUAUCAGCUAGUUGGUGAGGUAAUGGCUCACCAAUGCGAUGACGCAUAACUGGUCUGAGAGGAUGAUCAGUCAACCUGGAAGUGAGACACUGUCCGGACUCCUACGGGAGGGGGCAGUAGGGUAUAUUGGUCAAGGGGUGAGACCCUGAAGGAGCAACGGAUCGUGGAGGAUGACACUUUGCGAAGCGUAAACUCCUUUUGUUAGGGAAGCGGUACCUAACGAAUAAGCACCGGCUAACUCCGUGCCAGCAGCCGCGGUAAUUC
rnacentral:rRNA from 1 species